rnacentral:lncRNA from 1 species
CAGCCUUUGGAUGAAGAUGUAGAACUCUCAGCUCUGCCUGUGCCAUGCCUGCCUGGAUGCUGCUGUGCUCUCACCUUGAUGACAAUGGACUGAACCUCUGACUGAACCUGUCUUUAACUGACUGCGUGAGACCCACCCACAUUGGGAGGUAAUCUGCUGUACUCAUACUGUCUAUUCAAGUGUUAAGCACAUUCAGAAACAGUUUCAUGGGCACACCAAGGAUAAUGUUUAACCAAAUAUCUGGAUACCCGCCACUCCAUGGAGAUGAGACAUAACAUGGCUUACCACAGUGGGUGAUGGUUCCUCUCUUGAGGUUUGAGUGCUGUUUCCCCCAUGAUCCAACUCAAAGUCUUCACUGCAUUCUGCAAGGAGUGCAGUUCAUAAACAGUGUUGUGCGUCUCUCAAGUUGCACACCAGCAGGUCAAUUUGAAGAUUGACAUCUUCAUCAUAUUGAUCUUCUGGUCCAUGAAGACUGGCCUAUGUGUGACUUUGCCUACGGUUUCUUGACUCUGGCUGGCUGGCAUUUUAUACUCUCCAGUCUGUAGCUGCUGAAGUACCUGUAUUAAAUGUAAUCUUAGGUGUUGGCUUGAGACUACGAUUAACCCAUUAUUUAUAAAAUAUGGAGAUCUCUUGGGUGUGUGCACCGAUCAUGCCCCCUAUAAAUACUGACUGCUCCAUUUCAUGCUUCUCAGUCCGUUCAGCCUUUAUUCCUGUUGAAUAGUUUGGUGCAUUGAUCCUAUCGGACGGCCAGUCCAUCUUUGGCUGCACAGGAGGGGAGAACAGAGUCCCAUACUGUGGUACAUUCCGCACUGCUGAGAUGCUCUGAUUAUUCCAUGCACAUUAUUGGACAUUUGAGUGACGUUGAGUCAUUUCAACCUAAUGAACUGAUUGGAAGCUGACUCGCCCCGAGACCUGCUCUCUUCCCAUGCGCCUGUUGGGUAACCACCAGAGAAGACUGCUCAGGCAUGAAUGUAAGCCAGUAGAAAGUCUUUGUUAGCUGGUGGGCACGUACACUGGGGGUUCAGGAUCUCAGUGUAGCCCCAGCCUCUCUCUGGUGAGCUUUUACGUACAAAAGCCAUGUCCUGGGUUAAGAAGAACACACAUCAGUUAACAAGAACAGUUAGCCAGAUGCAGAACUACAGAAGCCAAACUGCAAGGUUAGUCCAUUUAGAGACUUUCAGGGAACUGUAGACUUUGAUGGAUUGGGCCUUUGGUUUCAUUUUGGCAGGUGGUUCUGUCUCCCUGCUGUUUUACAGCCUGAGUGGCACUUCCACUAUGGAGUCAGUCAUGCUAAAGUCAGGGGCCCUGUUAACGGUAUCUUCCGUGUUACUUUUAUGAAACAUUUUAAGCUGCUCACACUCUAGUUGGUUUGACAACAUGUCUUGCCUGUCUGCAGUAUGCAGGUCACUAGACUUGGUGGUGAGCCUUGGGUAGUCUUCAAAGUGCUGUGAACGCAGCCUGAUGUCUUCAACCAAGCUGGCUGUGUAUUUGGCCUCCUAGUUUCUCAGGGAUACCUUCUCUGACUCAGCUCUGUUUUGCUGUCUGGUGGGUUUCUAUGAAGCAUUUUCUCUGCCUCAUUUCUCAUAUUCAGAUCUUGUCUUUGUUUCCUAGUUUCUAUCGAGUAGAACAGAGUUUUCUGUUUUGUGUUGUUUGCUAAAAUGGGUUCUGUGUGGGAGGCAUUACUUUAGAUUUUUUCCCCCCUGAAGGCUUUUUUAAAAUGAGUCCUUCAAUCCCACAACCAUUUUUAAUUAGGGUGUCGGGUCCUGGGGAGGGUCCCUGGGUUUCACCUUCCUUGAAGAAAAUGCUUAGUUUAAGAAACUAUUUGAAACUUAAAAUUUUGUUAGCUCAGGUCCUCACACUCAGCUUUUUAAGUGAGUUCUGGGGCCUAGAACUCGAGUAUUCACGCUUACAAGGUGAGCACCGACUAAACCACUGCCCUAAACCGUUUGUUCUGGGAUCGCUCUAUUUCCUUUCAAUUCUGCUUGAAAACUGAACCAUUGCUUCUUUAGCAAAUCUCUCUUUUUGCAUACCACAGAAAGCUACACAGAACAAAGAAGACAUUGUCAACAUUCUUUCUGAGGACUUUCCCAGCCAUACUAGUAACUAACUAAAUGCUCUGUGUACUUCCUAUAACUAGAGGUGACAACUUAGCAGACUUUCUACAACUACAUGAUGCAGGUGGCUUUUUUCCUUAGGUUCCAACAGAUGUCUUCUUUGCAUCUUUCCAGCUGUUCCGGGAGUCUUGGAUAGACCCCCCUACCAGCCAUUUGGUUCCCAAAGCCUCAUUUCGUUGGAACAUUCCAUUCCCUGUAGCAAUCGUCCUUUGUUUGUUGCGGCAUAACAAAUUACUUCACGAAUUUGAGGUUUAAAAACAACUAUUUAUUAUUUCUCAUGACUCUGCGGGUUGACUUGGCCUGUUUCCUGCUUUACAUUCGGCAUCUGUCGGGCAGAAAGAGUUGAGUCUCCAACACUGGCUCGCAUACAUGCCCCAUGCCUGGGUUGGGGGUGGCAGAAGAGGUGGCCUCCGCUGGGCUGCUGGCACACUUGGCCGUUCUCCCUGCUGCAUGCAGACCUAGGCCACCUCCUUCCCACAGCUCCUCCCUUCAUGGUGGCUCCAGUGUAAAUGGUGCUUUCGUUCCCAUGGCCCGCUGCUUCCCUGUGAGGCUUUCUUCGGUCCAUUGUCUCUUGGCCACCAAUAAAAGAAGCAACAGGCAAAGAAUGGGGCCUCAGAGACCUUUCCCGUCUCUGCUUUAGAUGUCCUCUAUGGUGUUUUGAAAACAGCUUGCAUCUUUCUCAGUGACUGAUAUUGGAGACAUUUUUGGUAGUCUUACCACUUCCUGAAGUGGGUGAGCAAAGGUGACAGGAGAGGGAAUGGGGAUGUAUGUGGGUGAAUUUGUUCAGAACUCUAAGAAAAGUGUUGAGGGCUUGGUUAUGAUUAGCAACUGCAUGAUACUUUUGGUAUUAUUGCUCUCCUUUUAGAUCUAAAAAUGUCAUCUGCUUACACAUCUUACUUUAAAAUUGAUAAAUCCCUUUAUCUUUAGCUUCCUAACAUGCCCUAAAGAUUGAAGAAAUAUUUUCAUUUUUAUUCAAUAAAUAAUAUUUCCCAAA